rnacentral:rRNA from 1 species
AUUGAACGCUGGCGGCAGGCCUAACACAUGCAAGUCGAGCGGAUGAAGGGAGCUUGCUCCUGGAUUCAGCGGCGGACGGGUGAGUAAUGCCUAGGAAUCUGCCUGGUAGUGGGGAUAACGUCCGGAAACGGGCGCUAAUACCGCAUACGUCCUGAGGGAGAAAGUGGGGGGUCUUCGGACCCUACGCCAUAAGAUGAGCCUAGGUCGGAUUAGCUAGUUGGUGGGGUAAAGGCCUACCAAGGCGACGAUCCGUAACUGGUCUGAGAGGAUGAUCAGUCACACUGGAACUGAGACACGGUCCAGACUCCUACGGGAGGCAGCAGUGGGGAAUAUUGGACAAUGGGCGAAAGCCUGAUCCAGCCAUGCCGCGUGUGUGAAGAAGGUCUUCGGAUUGUAAAGCACUUUAAGUUGGGAGGAAGGGCAGUAAGUUAAUACCUUGCUGUUUUGACGUUACCAACAGAAUAAGCACCGGCUAACUUCGUG